UGUCCCUAAACUGGGUUCAGUGGCAUCUGGUUGGUGGUGCCUGUCUCCUAUCAGUCGGGGACCCAGCAAUUCCUUGUUUAUCCAAGCUCGGCUUUUGGUCUGUGCCCAUGCCUGGUUCAUGCCCUGGCCACAUGU
rnacentral:snoRNA from 1 species